rnacentral:rRNA from 1 species
AACGAACGCUGGCGGCAGGCCUAACACAUGCAAGUCGAGCGCGCCCUUCGGGGUGAGCGGCGGACGGGUGAGUAACGCGUGGGAACGUGCCCUUUUCUACGGAAUAGCCUCGGGAAACUGAGAGUAAUACCGUAUACGCCCUUUGGGGGAAAGAUUUAUCGGAAAAGGAUCGGCCCGCGUUGGAUUAGGUAGUUGGUGGGGUAAUGGCCUACCAAGCCGACGAUCCAUAGCUGGUUUGAGAGGAUGAUCAGCCACACUGGGACUGAGACACGGCCCAGACUCCUACGGGAGGCAGCAGUGGGGAAUCUUAGACAAUGGGGGCAACCCUGAUCUAGCCAUGCCGCGUGAGUGAUGAAGGCCUUAGGGUUGUAAAGCUCUUUCAGCUGGGAAGAUAAUGACGGUACCAGCAGAAGAAGCCCGGGCUAACUCCGUG